AACGAACGCUGGCGGCAUGCCUAACACAUGCAAGUCGAACGAGAGCUUCGGCUCUAGUGGCGCACGGGUGCGUAACGCGUGGGAAUCUGCCCUUGGGUUCGGAAUAACAGUUGGAAACGACUGCUAAUACCGGACGAAGUCGAUAAGACCAAAGAUUUAUCGCCCGAGGAUGAGCCCGCGUCGGAUUAGCUAGUUGGUGGGGUAAAGGCGUACCAAGGCGACGAUCCGUAGCUGGUCUGAGAGGAUGAUCAGCCACACUGGAACUGAGACACGGCCCAGACUCCUACGGGAGGCAGCAGUGGGGAAUAUUGGACAAUGGGGGCAAGCCUGAUCCAGCAAUGCCGCGUGAGUGAUGAAGGCCUUAGGGUUGUAAAGCUCUUUUACCCGGGAAGAUAAUGACUGUACCGGGAGAAUAAGCCCCGGCUAACUCCGUGCCAGCCGCCGCAGUAAUAC
rnacentral:rRNA from 1 species